AAGACCUCGCGCUAUUAGAGCGGCCGAUGCCCGAUUAGCUAGUUGGUGAGGUAAUGGCCCACCAAGGCAACGAUCGGUAGCUGGUCUGAGAGGAUGAUCAGCCACACUGGGACUGAGACACGGCCCAGACUCCUACGGGAGGCAGCAGUGGGGAAUUUUGGACAAUGGGCGAAAGCCUGAUCCAGCCAUGCCGCGUGAGUGAAGAGGGCCUUCGGGUUGUAAAGCUCUUUCAGCCAGAACGAAAUCGUCCGGGCUAAUACUCCGGAUGGAUGACGGUACUGGAACAAGAAGCACCGGCUAACUACGUGCCAGCAGCCGCGGUAAUACGUAGGGUGCAGGCGUUAAUCGGAAUUACUGGGCGUAAAGCGUGCGCAGGCGGCUUCCCAAGUCAGAUGUGAAAUCCCCGGGCUUAACCUGGGAACU
rnacentral:rRNA from 1 species